CUUUUCCCAGGCUGGUAAUUCCAAAAGGUAGCAAAAAAGCACUACUGUUACAGAGAAAAAAGAAAUGCACAACUGUUAUGGAUAUAAAAAUUCAUACUUUCCCAGGAUGAGAGCAAUUUUGGACAGAAAACGCUAAAUAUGAUAAGAUUUCUAUGGCAGGUUGAAUAUUGCUGUUAUCUAAAAGAUCUGUUUGCUCAGUGUUCCAGAAUUUGUGCUGAAAAAUUCAUCAGAAACAAGCGGAAGCAGAGGAGUGGGAUGAAAAGCUUCUCUAAGAUGAUGAAGUAAGCCCACGGCUGCCACACAACAACGACUGAGCAGCAGAGGAAGAGCAGGGGAUAAAGCAAACAGCAAGGUGCUCGGGCAGAGCUGCUGGUCUGACAAGAAGCUUCCAAGGCUCAGAGCUGCAGCACCACCCCGGAGCGCAAUGCCGAUGAGCUUGGUGCCACGCCAACACCACCACCAAGAAGCCAGAUCUCUCCUCGUUAUUAAACUGACCAAGCAAACAAAUGAAAGGAAUCAAAGCAAUAACAGAGGGCUGAUAACCCCUGGGCUAUCUUAUAAGCAGUGGCUGACAGAUGUGGAUUACUGAAAAAGUAAAGAGCUUGCCACUUGUAUGUAAUAAAGCCACAGGGACUGCAGCGAUACCCUUUUUGUUUUAAAGGAGAGCAAAGGCAUAUAUUGUCAAAACCAUAAAGCUUGCCAUAGCAAACCGUUGUACGUUUCUGAAGCUAUAUAAAGACAUCACAGGCUUACGGUUUUGAAAGGAGUGACAGCUAUUACAUUCUGCAAUGUUUCGGCAAGGCGCUGUGCGGAGUAACUACGGAUCACACAGGGAGCAUCAUCUAUUUGUGCCCUGACAAGAACACCUGGACAACCUCUCUGAACUGGUCAGCUGGACUGACUGGCCUGGGCAUUUAUCACUGCUGCAGCUUCUUUUUGAAAACAAGCCCUACAAAGCAGUAUUUCAGCUUCAUAAGGAACCAGAGCUUUCAGAACAGUGUCAAGGUCCAUAAAAAUAAUAACCUAAGGAAGUAAGAAGAAAAAGAUGCAGAUACACUCAACUUGCAAGGUGCUCUCCUUGUAGGUCUUCCAGAAAGAAAACAGAAACCUUCAGCAGAGCGUCUGUGCAAUUUCUCAAGCCUUGCCGAAGUGCAGUUCCCUGACAGAGAGCCACCUCGUGCCUCCCAUAGCUAUACAAGGCACAACUGAAAAUGUGUACCAUGCCCACAUAUGUGGCUCCAUGAAUGCAGAGUGGUGUACAGCUUACUUACACAGUCACACAGCAACACAAAGUGAUGUCUGCUACCGGCAAAAGUAAGAGGUAUUAUAAGUACUGUAGGUAGUAAGUAGGACUCUCAGAAUUCAUAAUUCCUGCUGAAGGCACAAGACAUCCAGUGCAAGGGGAGAAAGUGAAGGAUUGAGAGAUUGCCUAAAGAGAAGAGCUGAUGUGCAGUUUUACCAUGGGACAUACACUUCCAACAAAAUUUAGAAGUGCAGAUACUGGAUCAUUUUGAUAUUAGAGGACUAUAAGAAAGAGUUUUAUGCUUUCCAACGUUUCUGGGGAUUUAACUGUCUGGUUCAAAAAAAAUACCUGACUCUGAAUCAGCUCAGCUUAGAGGCAAGCAGUCAAAAUGAUUAGCAAGCCAAGGAGAUGGCUCAGUCUCAAGGACACAGUGCACUACUCUGACUGGCAAAUCCAUCACAAGUUGCAUAUAUCAUAAUCGAGCAACACAAAUUUGUAAAUAAUCUCUACUUCAGUGUCUAUGUUGACAAGGAAGAAUAUGAGACCUUCCUUGUUAGGUAACCUUCUGUCUAAACAGAGCAUCCUGACACUUAAGUGUGCUGAGAGCAUCUGCAUGAAUGCCUAAAAAAUAUUAGGAAAUGGUGAGAGAUCAAACGAGGUGGUAAGCAGAGGCAUAACAUAAACAGCCUGAUCUUCCUAGCCAGCAGAGCUGGGCACAGGUAAAAGGGUUAGGCUUAGGUUAGAAAGCAUACAACUUGGUUUUCAGUGCCCUGUCUGUUUUUCUAAAUACUAUGUACCUUUCAAGGAACGUACUUAAUAUCAUUGGAGGACUGCAGGUAUCACUGGAAUCUAAUUUAUAAGCAAAUCUAGGUAGACACUUAUUAGCACCAAAAUACAAAUGAUCAAUGAAACGUAGAAAUGAGUGCAAUAUCCCUUCUGUGCCACCAAACCUGAAGUGAUCUCAUCCACAGGUAGACAGAGCAAGGGAGUACUGUCACACAAAGUGAUGACACAGGAGAGAUAAACGUGCGUAUCAUGUUCUGGCCAUCCAUAAUAUGGAAUGAAGAUUAAAAGCACCGUUACUGACCGAGAAAGUACAAUAACUACAAUCACUUUUAAGAGAGAGAUAAUUUGUCAACCGUCACCGCACAGUGGCACCUGGGAUGCCAUGAUUCCUAAAUGCAAUUAGUAGCUGCAGGUGACCAGUUUGAAACAAGACACAGUAAUCAUAUUGCUUUGGGAAGUGCUGAGCACCCAUCCUAAAGAGCGGGACCUUUGGAUAUGCCUUAGCUUUGGCUGAACCCGCCCCACAUCUCAGGGCCCUCCAGUGCAGACAACAUAAUGGGACUCUGCCAACCAUAUGAAGCUGUUGCUUUCUGGUUACUGGUGCUUCAGCAUUAUUAAAUGCAUGUGCUUUAUAUCUAUAGGCAUACCAACUUUCCUUCAGCACAUUUUUCUACUUCAUUUAUGACAGUAUUGGUGUUUCUAUGGAUAUUUGCAUUUAAAAACCACAUCAGGAAUUCAUUCCUGAAGGGAGGAAGCCUUUCUCCCCACUUCAGGCACAAUUCAUAUCCCAGUCCUUCCUUCCCUAGGCUUACACUGUAGGAAACAGCACCUAUAAUAAGCUUAAGGGAAAAUGAAAUACAUCAAGGAAGAUCAAACAGUUGCAGCAGUCAAGCCCCGUACCAGACACACAGGUCCAGUCCCUGAUAUGUAGCCAAGAAUCAGACAAAGAAAAAUGAGUUGUCAAGAAGCCGAUUCUACUGAAGAGGCUCCUCCUGGAGCUGGACAUCUGGGUACUUCGCAUGCCAACAUUAAAUCAUCAGUCAGUUGUUUUUGGUGGGGAAACAGGAGUAAAUUUCAUACUGCCAGCGCUGGGACGGGUGGGCAGCUGCAGGAUCACUCACGUGCCACAGCUGUGCUGCCCGCGCUGCCCCAACGCCCGCUCACUGCUGAGGGGACGGCUGUAGCAGCGCCAUUAGAAAACUUCUUGAAGCAAGUGCAUCUGCUUCCUGAGCUAAAUCUCAUUUGUAUGGUUAAAAGAAAAACACCAGUGCAAAUGGUCAUUGUACCGGAUGAAACCAAAACAAUACCCUGAGAUACGCAGAAGAGCUCCAGGCCAGCUCCUCAACUCUGUGUAUCCUCCCAUUUUUCAGACUGUUCCGGCUUUGAGUACUUUCAAGGCCUUAUGGCAGGUACUUUUAAGGACAGGAAAUUUCCAGACAAUUAAACUGCAUGCACAAACAUUCCACAGAGAAUUUUGUGGUGAAAUUGUCUUGUAAGCCCAUGUUUUUCAGCUCCAGAAUAAAGUGCUGAAGAAUUUUCAGCAGCUGAAUAUAUGUAACACUAUACACAAAAAGCUUCAAAUCAUCACGUGGGUAUCAGCACUGUACAUGUAGCUCUGGUACAAUACCAGUGUCCCAGUUUCAAACCCUCAGAUCUAGUCCUUGAGAGAACCAGAAAACAAAGAAAAAGAACCUCAGAAUAUUAAACAAAUUGAAACUGUACAGUACUUCCUGUUUGCAAGGAUUUGCACAUCCAUGCAUGAGUUUAAAGAUCCUGAUAACUGCAGCGGGAAAAACAAGAAAAUCUACAGCAGAGGAAGAAUAUUCUGGUUAGUAUUUCAGCUUCAAGAGAAGUUUAAAGUUCCUCCUACAAUGGCAGUGAUAAAGAUAGCAUUCAUCUUCAGUUUCAGCAAUAAGCCUGAAUUUGAUCUCUUUUCAAGACUGUUCAUCAUACACGCUGUCCUCUGAGCUUGUGUUUUUCCUUAGUUUACUGAUGGCCUUAUUAUAUCCUUAUGCAUGAGAGAAACACUUUAUUCCCACAGCAUUAAAAUUGUCUUCUGUGAAAGUGGGGAGGUGGUGAAGUGAGGCAUAAUUUACAGUUUCAGAAUAGUGGAAUAACAUUAGUUAUAAAUCUGCAGCUCUCAUGAGUUUCUUACCUGAAGACAGGGAGACUUACAACCGGCAACACAACAAAGAUCCAGUUAAACUAUUCAUUUAUAGAGGGGAAGAAUGACAAGUGUACAACGAGAGCACUACAACACAUCAAAUAUGCACUGAAGAUGAAGUAAAGAUCGUAGUUUAGAAUGACUGUGGUUGUCUGCCUCAAUUUUGUGCUCCUCUCAAAACCAGCAAUAUCAGUUUCCCAGUAUGCUUGUUUGCUAAUCUAGUUCCUAUUCAAUAUUUAAAAUGAUUGAAUAUCUUUAUUUGAAAGGAAACAUAGCUACACAAAAUAACAUUGAGUCAAAUAGACACAGCUAAUCACUACAGGAACAAAUCUGAAGUCUUUGAGGUAGCCCUUAAAGAUCAAACUUCAUCAUCAACUUCACUAAGACCAACGAUCACAGCAUUUGUGAUCCAGUAUUUCCAAUGAAAUACAUGGGAAACUUCUUAUGUUCAAAUCCAGGACUGGCAGGUCCUUUGCUCCUGUUUGUAAGAUCUAUACUAUAAAGAUCUAGAAAUCCAUGACAUUUGUCUACUGAGGAAUCAGUUGCUACUGGCAGGGCUGGAUGUUGGAACCACUGGUUUCAGCUCACAAGAUCAGAGAGUGGAUUAGAUUGGAAGGGACCCUAAAGAUCAUUGAACUCCAACCCCCUGCCAUGGGCUGGUUGCCACCCACCAGCUCAUGCUGCCCAGGGCCUUGUCCAGCCUGGCCUUGAAUGCCUCCAGAGAUGGGGCACCCACAUUUUCUCUGGGCGGUAGCACCAGGGCCUCAUCACUCUGAGUAGCUUCUUCCUAACAUCUAACCCAACCUCCCCCUCUUUAAGUUUAAAGCCUUUGUCCUAUCAUGGUUCUAUUAGACCAUGCAAAAAAGUUGCUCCCUCUCCUGCUUAAAAGCUCCCUCCACGUACUGGAAGGCCACAAUGAGGUCUCCCCAGAGCCUUCUCUCCUCCAAGCUAAACAAGCCCAGCUCCCUCAACCUCUCUUUAUAGGAGAUGCACCAGCCCUUUGACCAUCCUCAUGACCCUUCCCUACACCCGCUCCAACAAAAUACCAGCUGUCUCUACCAUGAGCUUUGCUUCACACAUUUUCAUAACCUUUAAGUUUCAAUCUUAAGAUUAAAACCUUAAGAAAGAUCUCACAUUCUUCUGGUCAGCUCUGGAACUCUGGUACUUAUCAGAACUUCAUCCUACUGACAAAAAUUCCCAUGAAAUUACAAAAUACCAAAUUCGGACUCAGUGAAAAGUAUCUUCCGUACUUGUACAGAAACAGAAAAAUACAAAGACUCAAAGAAGUUUGAAGACCUGAAUCAGCCUUAACCCUCACCUGUGCUUUUUAUUAAGGCUUAUACCUAAAACUGUGCUGUUAGCUUGCUUUUGGGUUUCAAAAUUUGAUAGCAAUGGCACUAGUAACCAAGCAACAGUAAUUGCUUCUCUGAGAUUAAACCACAACAUGACAUUAAAGCUCUGCUACUGAACUUCCUUACAAAGGUGCAAAAUUUUUGCAGGCAGAAGUUAAUUAUGUAGAAGGGCAAUUUCAAUUUAAGUUGCAAGUAUCACUGAGCUGUAAGGAAGCAGAUACAAUGAGGUCAAGAGUUCAGCCUCCCUGAGUUUUAAAUCUAGAGAAGGAUUAUUGUAGCUUCCCAUUUUUAAUUGAUGCAUCCAGCCUCUCAAAAUAGUUCCAACUACGUAAAAACAAAUGGCCUCUAAAUAAGUGCUAGACAACAACAUGAUCAUACUGCAAAUUUUACUAUAGCUACUAUUACAAUUUCACAAUUAAAGAGAUGAUACUACCAUGAAUUAGAACUAGAGGACAUUGUACAGCUUGUAACUAAACCAGGACGUUCAAUGUACUCUUUAGCCUACGUAUAGUCAAACCUACUGUAAGACAACGAACACGACCCUACAGAUAAACCUACAUAAAUCACAGAAAACAUGACCUUAUUAGAAGUGCUAUGAUAUCUAAAGUUCUUGAGACAAACAAGGUGGACAGAACAAGAAGACAAAAGUCAAAACUGCUCAAGGAAGAGUUGGCUAACAAAUAAAGUAGUGGUUGAUGGUUUCAGUACUGAAAUACUACUUAGAAAAUCAAUGACGUGCAGGUGAGGGUUACACUUCCUGAGCGUGACCUAAACUGAUUACAAACAGGGGAACGUACCUGGAGCCCACAUCACUGCACCAGGGGCAGGCAGUUUUGCCCUGCGCUGCACAGCUACCAGUUCCAACUCACGUGCCUCCUGACCCCAUCAGCGAUGCUGGGUCUGAGGACAGACAUACUAAGCCAUGCCAAGACACUGUUGCUUAAACAGUUCCCUCUCACCAGAAGGCACAGAAGCAUUUUUGUCACUUGCACAGCAGUUGCCAUUAAGACGUAAAUGUUUGCCAACAGAUCAACCCAGUAGGCUGCAAUUGUUCCAUAUGCUUUGAAUCUGGUAUUUCUGUGGUAACCAUCACAUACCCAAAUGCUAAUAGCGACUGUACUCCAAACACCAUAAUUCCUUUCUCAGAGCCAGAUCCUCCUCUACCCCUAGUUGUUUCAGCAAAAUCCUUUUGCGUUAUCUGUACAACAUCAAUGAUACAACAAUUCUUACUAUCUUUCAUCAUUAAAGCUCCUUUUCAUGUCCACUUUUAACAG
ensembl:lncRNA